rnacentral:rRNA from 1 species
UACCCCUUUUCGAAGGGAUAGGGUCGGUUCGGCCGGAUUUUACACAGGUGUUGCAUGGCUGUCGUCAGCUCGUGUCGUGAGAUGUUGGGUUAAGUCCCGCAACGAGCGCAACCCUCAUCCUUAGUUGCCAUCAGGUAAUGCUGAGCACUUUAAGGAAACUGCCAGUGAUAAGCUGGAGGAAGAUGGGGAUGAUGUCAAGUCAUCAUGGCCUUUAUGAAGUGGGCUACACACGUGCUACAAUGGUGUCUACAGUGGGCUGCAAGGUGCGCAAGCCUAAGCUAAUCCCUAAAAGACAUCUCAGUUCGGAUUGUACUCUGCAACUCGAGUGCAUGAAGUUGGAAUCGCUAGUAAUCGUGGAUCAGCAUGCCACGGUGAAUACGUUCUCGGGUCUUGUACACACUGCCCGUCACGCCAUGGGAAUUGGUUUCCUUUCCAAAGC